GCAUGGAUAGUUCAAUUGGUUAGAGUGUGGUGCUGAUAAUGCCAAGGUUGCAAGUUUGAUCAACUGCAUAUUAUUGCA